GAUCUGCUGGUGGGGGCGGGGAAGGGACGUCUCUGUUGAGCCGGGAUUUGGGCCCCUGUCCCCGACGGACCCAUCAAGUGCGAGAUGACUGUGCGCAGGAACUUGAAGCUAAGCCGCAGAGAUAGAUAUUAAAUAAAGGACCCCAAAUCAACAGGCUGGAUCCCAUUGUAAUAAUCAACCUUGAUAGUCUGUAAUUGAUGAUUUGACAUCUUGAAGUCACGCCAAAACUGUUGACGUCCCUACCACCCCUGUGGUUUUACAGCACACAGAAAUCAUAUUACUAUCCUUCCAACUAAUAAAUAAAGAAGUGGUGGGGAGUUGUCUGGUGGGGAUGUCCCCUCCUUAGCAGGAAGCAAAUACAGAUGUUGGAGUUUGUGUUGGAAGAGCCUCCUGAUGUUCUGGGUUUGUCCAGUUGGCUGAAGAAAUUGCCCACACCUUUGACCUAGAAAAACAAAGAGUCUAGACCAGCACUGUCCAAUAUGGAUGUCACCAGCCACAUGAGGUGAUUGAGCACUUGGAAUGUGGCUAGUCAUGUACAAUAUUGUAAAAUACACACCGGAUAUUGAAGACAAUAUGAAGAAAAGAAUGUAAAAUAUCUCACUAAUUUUUUUUAAAAUAUAUGUCAAACGAUGAUGAUAGUUUUGAUAUACUGGGUUAAAGGAAGUAUAUUUUACCAUUAAAAAUAAAUUAUAAAUUUUUACCGUUAAAAAU